rnacentral:rRNA from 1 species
UGUGUUAGUGGAAGCGUCUGGAAAGGCGCGCGAUACAGGGUGACAGCCCCGUACACAAAAAUGCACAUAUUGUGAGCUCGAUGAGUAGGGCGGGACACGUGGUAUCCUGUCUGAAUAUGGGGGGCCCAUCCUCCAAGGCUAAAUACUCCUGACUGACCGAUAGUGAACCAGUACCGUGAGGGAAAGGCGAAAAGAACCCCGGCGAGGGGAGUGAAAAAGAACCUGAAACCGUGUACGUACAAGCAGUGGGAGCACGCUUAGGCGUGUGACUGCGUACCUUUUGUAUAAUGGGUCAGCGACUUAUAUUCUGUAGCAAGGUUAACCGAAUAGGGGAGCCGAAGGGAAACCGAGUCUUAACUGGGCGUUAAGUUGCAGGGUAUAGACCCGAAACCCGGUGAUCUAGCCAUGGGCAGGUUGAAGGUUGGGUAACACUAACUGGAGGACCGAACCGACUAAUGUUGAAAAAUUAGCGGAUGACUUGUGGCUGGGGGUGAAAGGCCAAUCAAACCGGGAGAUAGCUGGUUCUCCCCGAAAGCUAUUUAGGUAGCGCCUCGUGAAUUCAUCUCCGGGGGUAGAGCACUGUUUCGGCAAGGGGGUCAUCCCGACUUACCAACCCGAUGCAAACUGCGAAUACCGGAGAAUGUUAUCACGGGAGACACACGGCGGGUGCUAACGUCCGUCGUGAAGAGGGAAACAACCCAGACCGCCAGCUAAGGUCCCAAAGUCAUGGUUAAGUGGGAAACGAUGUGGGAAGGCCCAGACAGCCAGGAUGUUGGCUUAGAAGCAGCCAUCAUUUAAAGAAAGCGUAAUAGCUCACUGGUCGAGUCGGCCUGCGCGGAAGAUGUAACGGGGCUAAACCAU